CAUGGCUCAGGAUGAACGCUGGCGGCGUGCCUAAUACAUGCAAGUCGAACGCACAGCGAAAGGUGCUUGCACCUUUCAAGUGAGUGGCGAACGGGUGAGUAACACGUGGACAACCUGCCUCAAGGCUGGGGAUAACAUUUGGAAACAGAUGCUAAUACCGAAUAAAACUUAGUGUCGCAUGACACAAAGUUAAAAGGCGCUUCGGCGUCACCUAGAGAUGGAUCCGCGGUGCAUUAGUUAGUUGGUGGGGUAAAGGCCUACCAAGACAAUGAUGCAUAGCCGAGUUGAGAGACUGAUCGGCCACAUUGGGACUGAGACACGGCCCAAACUCCUACGGGAGGCUGCAGUAGGGAAUCUUCCACAAUGGGCGAAAGCCUGAUGGAGCAACGCCGCGUGUGUGAUGAAGGCUUUCGGGUCGUAAAGCACUGUUGUAUGGGAAGAACAGCUAGAAUAGGAAAUGAUUUUAGUUUGACGGUACCAUACCAGAAAGGGACGGCUAAAUACGUGCCAGCAGCCGCGGUAAUACGUAUGUCCCGAGCGUUAUCCGGAUUUAUUGGGCGUAAAGCGAGCGCAGACGGUUUAUUAAGUCUGAUGUGAAAGCCCGGAGCUCAACUCCGGAAUGGCAUUGGAAACUGGUUAACUUGAGUGCAGUAGAGGUAAGUGGAACUCCAUGUGUAGCGGUGGAAUGCGUAGAUAUAUGGAAGAACACCAGUGGCGAAGGCGGCUUACUGGACUGCAACUGACGUGAGCUC
rnacentral:rRNA from 1 species